rnacentral:rRNA from 1 species
CCCUUAGAUGUUCUGGGCCGCACGCGUGCUACACUGAGUGGAUCAGCGGGUCAGGUUGGGCGAAAGCGUUUCCUAAUCUUUAAAUCCGCUCGUGAUGGGGAUUGACGGUUGCAAUUUUCUGUCAUGAACGAGGAAUACCUUGUAAGCGCGGGUCAUCAUCCCGCGCUGAAUACGUCCCUGCCCUUUGUACACACCGCCCGUCGCUCCUACCGAUUGAGUGGUCCGGUGAGGCUUUGGGAUCUGAGCGGAAAGAGCGUUUCGCUGUUUCUGCUCGGAAAACUCAGUCGAACCUUAUCAUUUAGAGGAAGGAGAAGUCGUAACA